AUUGAACGCUGGCGGCAGGCCUAACACAUGCAAGUCGAGCGGAUGAAGGGAGCUUGCUCCUGGAUUCAGCGGCGGACGGGUGAGUAAUGCCUAGGAAUCUGCCUGGUAGUGGGGGAUAACGUCCGGAAACGGGCGCUAAUACCGCAUACGUCCUGAGGGAGAAAGUGGGGGAUCUUCGGACCUCACGCUAUCAGAUGAGCCUAGGUCGGAUUAGCUAGUUGGUGGGGUAAAGGCCUACCAAGGCGACGAUCCGUAACUGGUCUGAGAGGAUGAUCAGUCACACUGGAACUGAGACACGGUCCAGACUCCUACGGGAGGCAGCAGUGGGGAAUAUUGGACAGUGGGCGAGAGCCUGAUCCAGCCAUGCCGCGUGUGUGAAGGUGGUCUUCGGAUUGUAAAGCACUUUAAGUUGGGAGAAAGGGCAGUAAGUUAAUACCUUGCUGUUUUGACGUUACCAACAGAAUAAGCACCGGCUAACUUCGUG
rnacentral:rRNA from 1 species